rnacentral:lncRNA from 1 species
UACAGUGAAAUGCAAGGAGAUUCACAUGGCAGUAAAGCAUAUAUUACCGUACUGUACGUUACAAUAUAGCCAGAUAAAAGGCCAGCGGGAAUCCGU